UUCCAAAGCGUUGAGUUCAGUUUAGGGUAUCUUCCCCUGCUCUGGUAAUUAAACUUUGGAACAUUGAAACUGGCUAAGGAAAAUGAUUGGAUAGAAAAUGUUCUUCUAUUCAUUUAUCCCCAGCCUACAAAU
ensembl:snoRNA